UCGGAGGUGUUUUCUGGUUAUCUAUCUAUUUUGAGGAUGGAAAGAUCCUAACUGGAUGGCUCGGUAACACUACGAACCAGGUUAACUCACAUGUGUUUUUCUAUUCAAACUAAGUUCAUGAUUGUUAAGUCUAUCAAUGGUGACCGAAGAAGUUUGAUUUUCAACAAAAGAGAAAAGCUAAGUUCAAUGUAGCUUGUUUUAUAAUUAUUUUGUAGGGAAAUUUUAUUCAGUUUAAUAAUCUCUUAAGAGUCAAUUUUCUUUUUGACUAUCAUAUUUCUGAUACUGAUACACUACUGCAUCUAGUCUUUAUUCAUGGCAUUGACUAUCAGAUUUCUGCGACGAGCUAAAUUUUACUAGAAAUGUUAUCACUUUCAACAUAGAUAUAAAUUUUACUAGAUAUGUUAGGGCUAGGAUGUUGUAGUAGGUAAAAGAUGAGAGAAGGGAUCGAAAUCUAGGUUUUCUGUUUAAUAGUUUUGGUUAAUGGUUUUAAUUUAGUUGUUUUAACUUCUGAUGAUUAACUCGUCCACAUUACCUUUCUUAAUGGUCAAAAGAUCUCCAAAGUUACUCUAUAUUCACAUUUAAUUUUUGGAUAAAAAUAUUUCCGAUUCAUAACACGGGAUUAAAAACACAAUAAAUCCUCACGUAUUUAAGUCUUGACCACGACUCUCAAGUUUUUGUAAAGUAUGUUUUCUUUUUUUUUUUUUUUUUUUUCAACAAAGAAGCAAAACUAAACUAAGUGGAUUCCUGAGCCGAGAACCAUCUCGGAGGAACGGAGUCAACAUAAACCAUAGCAGAAGGCUGAGUCCUAACACCUCGUGCUAGCUUAUCCGCCAUCGUGUUUUGUGCCCUUGGAAUAUGCUGAAUAGUGAAAGUAGAGAAGUAUUCCUUACAUCGUAGAAACUCUUCCAUGUGAGUAGUGAAUGCCGGCCAUUCUGUUGGAGUAGACACCAUCUUCACCAACUGUGAGCAGUCUGUUGCAAACACCACCUCUGAGAUAUGUAGGGUCUUCAUGCACUCCAUCGCCCAUAUCAAAGCUUCACAUUCUGCGUGUAAAGCUUCACAUUCUGCGUGUAAAGUAUGUUUUCUAACCAACAAAAAUUAUUAUUCAAAAUCUAACUAUUUUACCUAAUUAGCCAUUAUAUCCUCCUAAUCAACCGACGGAACCUACUAAUAUAUAUAUUAAAAUAAAUAUUAAAUAAUUAUAAUUACUUUAUCGUUCUUAUACUUCGUCACAUAUUUACAUUUAGGUACGUGAUCAAAAGACAAAGCGAGGAAAAUAUAAUUCUUCUCCUUUAUUAUUCUAUCAAUUUCAUCUCCGGUCAGUACAUCUCAAUCACCUUCACAUCUACAAUCAACACCACCAUCACCACUGAUUGUUUAACUGUCGUCAUCAUAUUUUCUUCCACCAACGUUGCAACCCAUCUUCUCCUCAUUUUCUCCCACCAUCUCUUUUUUUUUUCCAUCUACUGUAUUAACAACAAAAUUUCUUCUUGAACCAACUCUAGAUACA
rnacentral:lncRNA from 1 species